CCCUUAGAUGUUCUGGGCCGCACGCGCGCUACACUGAUGCAUUCAACAAGCCUAGCCUUGACCGAGAGGUCCGGGUAAUCUUUGAAACUGCAUCGUGAUGGGGCUAGAUUAUUGCAAUUAUUAAUCUUCAACGAGGAAUGCCUAGUAAGCGUGAUUCAUCAAAUCGCGUUGAUUACGUCCCUGCCCUUUGUACACACCGCCCGUCGCACCUACCGAUUGAACGGUCCGGUGAAAUCUUGGGAUUUGCUUUGCUUUCGUUUAUUCGAUGCUCGGCGAAGAACUUGAGUAAACCUUACCGUUUAGAGGAAGGUGAAGUCGUAACA
rnacentral:rRNA from 1 species